UUUUAUUUUCAGAGACAAUUCUGCAAACUUGACAUUAAAGCAGUAGUUUGGCAUGGUUUAAAAUACAUUCAAAUGUAUACUAAAUGUUUUAGAAAAUAUUCCAUUGUUGAAUACACUUCUAAUCCUCACUUCAAAUCAACUUUCCUCUUUCUUGGCUCAUAUUUGUGAAAUAAAAUUUUAUUUAAAAUGGAAGAUAAUUAUCUAAAGGGUUUUGUCAUUAAUCAAUACAAUGACAGAUAAAUGUUUCUAUCUACAGAUAUUUAGAUGUCUUUGUUCAUCUGGAGAGUUCCAAUUUUACCCCUUUAUGUUUAUAGGAUUAGAUGGUUCAGGGAAAAGUAAAUGGUUGAUGGCCCAUACAAUAUUCUCUCUUUAUCUAAGGACUUUCUUUGCCCUCAGUAGGCUAUCUC
rnacentral:lncRNA from 1 species